rnacentral:rRNA from 1 species
UACAGAGGUCCCAAGCGUUGUUCGGAUUCACUGGGCGUAAAGGGUGCGUAGGUGGCCGGGUAAGUCUGACGUGAAAUCUCCGAGCCUAACUCGGAAACUGCAUCGGAUACUAUCCGGCUUGAGGGUUGGAGGGGGGACUGGAAUACUUGGUGUAGCAGUGAAAUGCGUAGAGAUCAUGAGGAAGACCAGUGGCGAAGGCGGGUCUCUGGACAGUUCCUGACACUGAGACACGAAGGCCAGGGGAGCAAACGGG